rnacentral:rRNA from 1 species
ACGGGUGAGUAAUACGUGAGAAUUUACCCUUUAGUGAAGAAUACCUUCGAGAAAUCGAAGUUAAUACUGCAUAAGUCCCUACGGGGAGAAAGGUGGCCUCUUUGCUACCGCUGAAGGAUAAGCUUGCGUGCUAUCAGCUAGUUGGUGAGGUAAUGGCUCACCAAGGCUAUGACGGCUAACCGGCCUGAGAGGGUGUUCGGUCACACUGGAACUUAGACACGGUCCAGACUCCUACGGGAGGCAGCAGUGAGGAAUCUUGCGCAAUGGGCGAAAGCCUGACGCAGCGACGCCGCGUGGAGGAUGAAGGUCUUCGGAUUGUAAACUUCUGUUAAGUGGGAAGAAAGGUUUGUCUCUAAUAAAGGCAAAAUAUGACUGUACCAUUAGAGAAAGCACCGGCUAAACUCGUGCCAGCAGCCGCGGUAAUACGAGUGGUGCAAGCGUUAUUCGGAUUUAUUGGGCGUAAAGGGUGCGCAGACGGUAUGUUAAGUCACCUGUUAAAUUCUCUGGCCUAACCAGAGGCAUGCGGGUGAAACUAGCAAACUAGAGGGUGGAAGAGAGAAGUGGAAUUCUCGGA